GGCGAUGGAGGUGGUAGACUGAAUCCAUAGCGUGUACGAUGACAUCGGAGAACGCGCCAUUAUUGAAUCCCUCCAAUUGGAUAUGGUCACACAGUGAAGUUAGGUUACAAUCCAGUUGCGCCCUCAGCUCCGACCCGCGCCUGUCUUCGUUGCUGGUAUUGUUAUCAGAAUGCGUCGGUUCUUUAAUCAAUUCAACCGGACCGCUGCCCUCCCCUCCGAUGUACGGGCGGGGGUUAUGAUGUUGACUGAUUCUGUACUGUUGCGGUUGCGCCACUGGCGUAGGUAGGGCUUCCAUCGUAUAUACAUACAGUGUGAAUGUGUGUGUACAGAUGAAGUGAUUAUAAGGAACUUUGAAGGAUAGUUGGAGAUUCUGGAAAUGAGGAUGCAGGCAUCGGAAAUUGCGAUGAUGCCCCUUGAAUUAUGGUUUUUGAGAUAUUCCACCACUCUCUCUCUUUUUUUCUUUUUUC
rnacentral:lncRNA from 1 species